rnacentral:lncRNA from 1 species
CUUGCCAUCCACCUUCUGCUUCUUCACAGACUUCUUUUUCUUUCCAAAAGACUUUCUCUUGGAAGAAGUCCACUCCACAGUAAGAACUGAGCCUUUUGAACCUUUCAUUGAAAGCUCAGUCGUAACCAGCAUAUUCAUUAACUCGACCAAGGUACAUUGCAUCUUAUGCAUAUAGAAGUUCAUGAUGAACUGACCAUAUGCAUCGGACAAGGACUGAAAGAUCACAUCAAUC